UGACAAGACACCUUGAUUCUUCUAACUCAUUUGUUAGGAUUUUAUUUAUGGACUUCUCAUCAGCGUUUAAUACAGUGAAGACAAGCGAGUUCUGCACAGGAUCCAAGAACUAAAAGCCAACACUGGUUUUAUGAAUGAAAACUUUCUUAAAGAACAGACCCCAGCAUGUGAGGGUAAAUGGUUUUAAAUUUAACACCAUUGUUUUAAAUAUAGGUGUUCACAUGGUUAUGUUUUGUCACCCAUCCGAUUCUCCUUCUCCACAAAUGAAAUGACACUAACAAAAUACACAGCUGACAUGGCCUUGGUGGCCUUUCUGACAGAAGAACAUUCCCUGUUGAAAUACACAAGCAGUAUGUGGACACCAUGGUACUUUGGUUUCAGGAGAACUCACUGGAACUGAAUGUUAAUAAAACCAAAGACCAACGCCAUAAACCAUCAAAAACAAGACACAGACAUUUGCUUUGCCAUGCCGACGCUAAGUGAAUCACAGCUGCCUGACGCUUCAAAGCGGAGACCCAAGGAUGCUGAGUUCGCCCCCGGACGCUAAGUUAACUAACUGCCCGCCAGUCAAAGGAGCGCACCAACAAAGGCACCUCCACUCUGAUGAGUAUCGCCACUUGGGAGUUGGAACAGGCAACAGCGACACCCACGGGCGACGGAACGACACUACAGACAUGUCCAUUUACUACUGCUUAUCCGAGGUCGGGUCGCAGGGGCAGUAGCUUUAGCAGGGACGCCCAGACUUCCCUCUCCCCAGUCACUUCAUCCAGCUCUUCCGGGGGGAUCCCGAGGCGUUCCCAGGCCUGCCGAAGGAUGUAGUAUCUCAAGCGUGUCCUGGGUCGUCCCCGGGGUCUCCUCCCGGUGGGACGUGACCGGAACACCUCACCAGGGAGGCAUCCGAGAGGCAUCCGAAUCAGAAACCCCAGCCACCUCAUCUGGCUCCUCUCGAUGUGGGGGAGAUGCUUCUCACCCUAUCUCUAAGGGAGAGCCCGGACACCCUGCGGAGGAAACUCAUUUCGGCCGCUUGUAUCCGGGAUCUUGUUCUUUCGGUCACGACCCGCAGCUCGUGACCAUAGGUGAGGGUAGGAACGUAGAUCGACUGGUAAAUCGAGAGCUUCGUCUUUCGGCUUAGCUCCUUCUGCACCACAACGGAUCAAUACAAAGUCUGCAUCACUGCAGAUGCUGCACAUAUCCGCCUGUCGAUCUCCCGUUCCAUUCUUCCCUCACUCGUGAACAAGACCCCAAGAUACUUGAACUCCUUUUUCAGGAUUCCACCAGACGUUCCCAGCAGACCCACACAAACGUCGGACCGGCAUCUUCCCCCACCAUCGGAGCCAACUCACCACCAGGUGGUGAUCAGUUGAGUGUCCAAGACAUGCGGCCGUAAGUCCGAUUACACGACCACAAAGUCGAUCAUCGAACUGCGACCUAGGUUGUCCUGGUGCAAAUGCAAGACAUGGAUGUUCAAUGUCAAUCUUAACUAUCAUGCUGGCAUUGCUCUGCAUUAUAAUCCACGUUUCAAUGAGAAUAUUGUGGUUCGAAACACCAAGCAGGGGGAGCAGUGGGGCUCAGAGGAGCGAGGUGGCCCAACGCCCUUCCACAAGGGACAGCCUUUCACGAACCCCAACCAGGAAUCUAGCUGCACAAACAUACGUGCCACAGCGUGCACGAAUCAUCGGACCGCAUCCUUUGCAGAACCCCGAGGCAGCUUUUGACCAUACAAGGUCAUGUCAAAGCAGAGUGAAUACGGUGGAUUUACAACACUGACGAAUCGACGCCUUCAUUCGAACUGUGGACUUGCUAAAAUCUAUGUGGACAUCAUAGAUUCUUUUUUCAGCGGUAAUGUUAUUUUCUUUAAAUACAGCAGUAUAACGUAUUGUAUUGUAUAUCGUAUAUUCCACAGGAGAACCGACUGCCUGCAUGAAGAUUUGACCAUGAACAUGCUGUGAUCAUCACAUCCUCUGAGUUCUGGAGACCUGCAACCAGCUCUCCCAGGAGCUGAAAACUUAGUACUGUCUUUUUUGAUAUUCUUAUUCGCAUUUUAGCGUAUGUACGUUAUAGCGGUUUCUCUUUUAUACUCCUAAUAUCCAGUUUUGAUAUUCAACAUAAUACUAUUCAACGUUUUAUGUUGUAUUCAAAAUAGAAAACUCGGGGGGGGGGGGGGGGGG